CAGGAAUAAGGUGGGAGAUAAAUUCUGGGUUGCCAACCUUCUCACUGUGUGAUUUGGGAAAUACAAAUUAAUGAGAGAAUACUAUCUAAUGUUAAGUUCUUAUGUUUUACAGACAUUGUUCCAGAAGCUUCCAAAUAGCAACACAUUUCAAGACAAUUCUAGGAUGUUACUAUCAUUAGUCUUACAGAGGAAGAAGGAAGUAAAACUAACCUUGGAACAGUCAGCAGGACUUGGAGUGUGACCUCUGCCUUCAUGCCUGUUGAUCCUGAUGUUUGGCUCUGGGGUCGUGAGUGGUCCGCCGCUUGUCUACAAAUGAAUCAAGAUUUUAACUCACCAUCAUGGCUAAAGGUUGAUUCUUAGGCUUCAGGAAAGAGUGUCAAGAUGGAAGUACUCUCAAAUGAAAUUGUCCUCUAUACCAUUGUCUGCUAUAAUCUAGAGAGUCUCAAAGAAGAGUCAGUUAGAUCUGCUGACCUGUAGAACAUCUUGAUUAUGUUAAUGGAUGUGGAAGAAGUAAUCUAAAAGUGAGAGGCACUGCUUCCUGGGUUCUGGUCUCAAAUUGCAUAAGAAUAGAGAAAUCUAGAUGAGACACACACACACACACAGCACCUACAUGCCAGCUCACAACUGUCUGUAACUCCUGUUCCAGGGAUCUGGAACCCUCAUACAGACAUACA